rnacentral:tRNA from 1 species
AAGGUCUUAGCUUAAUUAAAGUACUUGAGUUGCAUUCAGGUGAUAUGAGAUAGAGUCUUGUAGGUCUUA